CGAGACCAGACCAGACCUGUGCUGUGCCAACGACACAUAAACAAUUUAUCAGAAAUAAAUUGGUUAACAGCUGAUGAUUCUGGCUGUUACUGCUGAUUACUUUAACGAUGAUGUCCAUAAAAUGUAUCUCAAGCCCGAAGCCUCGCAGCUCGCAGCUCGCAUCUCGCACUUUUUUUUCGGCAACUUCUGCUGCGCUUCACUCUGCUGCUCGUGGGGGAAGCAGGUUUGAAAAAUUACCCAAAAAAAAGCAGACAAAAAAAAGAAAGAGAAAUAAAUGAAAACGAAACUCGAA